AACGAACGCUGGCGGCAUGCCUAACACAUGCAAGUCGAGCGCCCGUAGCAAUACGGGAGCGGCGCACGGGUGAGUAGCGCGUGGGAACCUGCCCAGAGGUUCGGGACAACCGCGGGAAACUGCGGCUGAUACCGGAUGAUGCCUGAGGGCCAAAGAUUUAUCGCCUUUGGAGGGGCCCGCGUCGGAUUAGGUAGUUGGUGAGGUAACGGCUCACCAAGCCUGUGAUCCGAGCUGGUCUGAGAGGAUGAUCAGCCACACUGGGACUGAGACACGGCCCAGACUCCUACGGGAGGCAGCAGUGGGGAGUAUUGGACAAUGGGGGCAACCCUG
rnacentral:rRNA from 1 species